rnacentral:rRNA from 1 species
UACGGAGGGGGCUAGCGUUGUUCGGAAUUACUGGGCGUAAAGCGCACGUAGGCGGCUUUGCAAGUCAGAGGUGAAAGCCCGGGGCUCAACCCCGGAAUUGCCUUUGAGACUGCUUCGCUAGAAUUGUGGAGAGGUAAGUGGAAUUCCGAGUGCAGAGGUGAAAUUCGUAGAUAUUCGGAAGAACACCAGUGGCGAAGGCGACUUACUGGACACAUAUUGACGCUGAGGUGCGAAAGCGUGGGGAGCAAACAGG